AAAUUGAAGAGUUUGAUCAUGGCUCAGAUUGAACGCUGGCGGCAGGCCUAACACAUGCAAGUCGAACGGUAACAGGAAGAAGCUUGCUUCUUUGCUGACGAGUGGCGGACGGGUGAGUAAUGUCUGGGAAACUGCCUGAUGGAGGGGGAUAACUACUGGAAACGGUAGCUAAUACCGCAUAAUGUCGCAAGACCAAAGAGGGGGACCUUCGGGCCUCUUGCCAUCGGAUGUGCCCAGAUGGGAUUAGCUAGUAGGUGGGGUAAAGGCUCACCUAGGCGACGAUCCCUAGCUGGUCUGAGAGGAUGACCAGCCACACUGGAACUGAGACACGGUCCAGACUCCUACGGGAGGCAGCAGUGGGGAAUAUUGCACAAUGGGCGCAAGCCUGAUGCAGCCAUGCCGCGUGUAUGAAGAAGGCCUUCGGGUUGUAAAGUACUUUCAGCGGGGAGGAAGGGAGUAAAGUUAAUACCUUUGCUCAUUGACGUUACCCGCAGAAGAAGCACCGGCUAACUCCGUGCCAGCAGCCGCGGUAAUACGGAGGGUGCAAGCGUUAAUCGGAAUUACUGGGCGUAAAGCGCACGCAGGCGGUUUGUUAAGUCAGAUGUGAAAUCCCCGGGCUCAACCUGGGAACUGCAUCUGAUACUGGCAAGCUUGAGUCUCGUAGAGGGGGGUAGAAUUCCAGGUGUAGCGGUGAAAUGCGUAGAGAUCUGGAGGAAUACCGGUGGCGAAGGCGGCCCCCUGGACGAAGACUGACGCUCAGGUGCGAAAGCGUGGGGAGCAAACAGGAUU
rnacentral:rRNA from 1 species